rnacentral:lncRNA from 1 species
UGGACUUUGAGAUUUUUGUAAAUCGGCUGUUUCAAAAGUCAAAAAUGAACAUUUGUGCUUAACAGUAAACCUCUUGGCUGUCUGGCAGCUUUGUACUAAUGCACUAUAGAGGAGCCAAUUAGUUCUGUAAAACCAGAGGUGUGCCUAAUUAAAAUGUAAUUCCAGCCUAAUAGCUUUGUUUUGCUUCCAAAUAAUGUAAUUUGAUGGAAAUUGUGUUUUGGCCCACAUAGAACAUAAAAUGUUUUCCCACCAUGAGAGAGAGUGAGAGUUGAAUAUUUUACAAGUAUAGAUACAUUGUGCUUUUUGUUCCUUUUUUCUCUUUAGUAUUUUGUAUUGAAGGAGAACAGCCCCGAUCUUGUUGAGAACUGAAACAUCCAUGGUCAGAGCAUAGGAGCUCCUUAGCCCCGGAGGUUUGUGCCUGAAACAUAGGCCUAUUUCAGUGAUCAUGAUAUCAUCAUAUGUUGUCUGGGUGAUUGGCCGCCCUGUCACUCUGAGGUCCCUGUGGUCGCUGAUCUUGCCCAAGGCUCUCCUGUGUUCUGGGUGGAAUGAACUCUCAACUGAAAACAAGACAGUCACUGCCCAUCACUUGCCACAGGCUGAAAACCUUUCACACUACCCUUUUUCAGACACACCAACACGCCAUGCUAGAGAGAAGAAAUACUUUUUUACAUCACAAAAAAGAUAA